GGGUGUGAGGACCAUCUGCCUACAACAUUUAUCCUGUUGAUUGCCAGGAUUGGUUUGGUUGAUCUGCCUGGCUAGAUGGGUGUCCUGUUUCUCUCUGACUGCCCUGUAGACAUUAGUAGAACAAUGGGGUUUGUCAAACUUCCAAACAUUUAAGUGAAGUCCUGCGUAUGGCAGUCUGCGUUUCU
rnacentral:snRNA from 1 species